AGUGAACGCUGGCGGUAGGCUUAACACAUGCAAGUCGAACGGCAGCACACUAAGAUCUUGCUCUUACGGGUGGCGAGUGGCGGACGGGUGAUGAAUACAUCGGAAUCUACUUUUUCGUGGGGGAUAACGUAGGGAAACUUACGCUAAUACCGCAUACUACCUACGUGUGACAGCAGGGGAUCUUCGGACCUUGCGCGAUUGAAUGCGCCGAUGUCGGAUUAGCUAGUUGGCGGGGUGAAGGCCCACCAAGGCGACGAUCCGUAGCUGGUCUGAGAGGAUGAUCGGCCACAAUAGAAGUGAGACACGGUCCAGACUACUACGGGAGGCAGCAGUGGGGGAUAUUGGACAAUGGGCGGAAGCAUGAUCCAGCCGUACCGCGUGGGUGAAGAAGGCCUUCGGGUUGUAAAGCCCUUUUGUUGGGAAAGAAAAGCAGCAGGUUAAUACCCCGCUGUUCUGACGGUACCCAAAGAAUAAGCACCGGCUAACUUCGUG
rnacentral:rRNA from 1 species